rnacentral:rRNA from 1 species
AGAUUGAACGCUGGCGGCAUGCCUUACACAUGCAAGUCGAACGGCAGCACGGGAGCAAUCCUGGUGGCGAGUGGCGAACGGGUGAGUAAUACAUCGGAACGUGCCCAAUCGUGGGGGAUAACACAGCGAAAGCUGUGCUAAUACCGCAUAAGAUCUACGGAUGAAAGCAGGGGAUCGCAAGACCUUGCGCGAAUGGAGCGGCCGAUGGCAGAUUAGGUAGUUGGUGAGGUAAAGGCUCACCAAGCCUUCGAUCUGUAGCUGGUCUGAGAGGACGACCAGCCACACGUGGGACUGAGACACGGCCCAGACUCCGUACGGGAGCAGCAGGUGGGGUAAUUUGGACAAGUGGGACG